AGACUCCUACGGGAGGCAGCAGUGGGGAAUUUUCCGCAAUGGGCGAAAGCCUGACGGAGCAAUACCGCGUGAGGGAGGAAGGCUCUUGGGUUGUAAACCUCAAAACUUAGGGAAGAAAAAAAUGACGGUACCUAAUGUAAGCAUCGGCUAACUCCGUGCCAGCAGCCGCGGUAAUACGGAGGAUGCAAGCGUUAUCCGGAAUCAUUGGGCGUAAAGAGUCCGUAGGUGGCACUUCAAGUCUGCUUUCAAAGACCGAAGCUCAACUUCGGAAAGGGAGUGGAAACUGAAGAGCUAGAGUAUAGUAGGGGUAGAGGGAAUUCCUAGUGUAGCGGUGAAAUGCGUAGAGAUUAGGAAGAACACCAGUGGCGAAGGCGCUCUACUGGGCAUAUACUGACACUGAGGGACGAAAGCUAGGGGAGCGAAAGGGAUUAGAUACCCCUGUAGUCCUAGCGGUAAACGAUGGAUACUAGGCGUAGUGCUGUUAGAAGGACUGUGCCGAAGCUAACGCGUUAAGUAUCCCGCCUGGGGAGUACGCACGCAAGUGUGAAACUCAAAGGAAUUGACGGGGACCCGCACAAGCGGUGGAGUAUGUGGUUUAAUUCGAUGCAACGCGAAGAACCUUACCAAGGCUUGACAUCCUGCGAAUCUUGGAGAAAUCUGAGAGUGCCUAAGGGAACGCAGAGACAGGUGGUGCAUGGCUGUCGUCAGCUCGUGUCGUGAGAUGUUGGGUUAAGUCCCGCAACGAGCGCAACCCUCGUCCUUAGUUGCCAGCAUUAAGUUGGGGACUCUAGGGAGACCGCCGGGGAGAACUCGGAGGAAGGUGGGGAUGACGUCAAGUCAGCAUGCCCCUUACGUCUUGGGCUACACACGUACUACAAUGGUUGGGACAAAGGGGAGCGAAACCGCGAGGUGGAGCGAAUCUCAUCAAACCCAGCCACAGUUCAGAUUGCAGGCUGAAACUCGCCUGCAUGAAGGAGGAAUCGCUAGUAAUCGCAGGUCAGCAUACUGCGGUGAAUCCGUUCCCGGGUCUUGUACACACCGCCCGUCACACCAUGGAAGUUGGUCACGCCCGAAGUCGUUAUUCUAACCCAAGUGGAAGGAGACGCCGAAGGUGGGACUAGUGACUGGGGUGAAGUCGUAACAAGGUAGCCGUACCGGAAGGUGUGGCUGGAUCACCUCCUUU
rnacentral:rRNA from 1 species